UACCAGCACCCCGAGUGGUCGGGACGUUUAUUGGGCCUAAAGCAUCCGUAGCCGGUUCUACAAGUCUUCCGUUAAAUCCACCUGCUUAACAGAUGGGCUGCGGAAGAUACUAUGGAGCUAGGAGGCGGGAGAGGCAAGCGGUACUCGAUGGGUAGGGGUAAAAUCCGUUGAUCCAUUGAAGACCACCAGUGGCGAAGGCGGCCCGCUGGGCAGUGGCUGACGCUGAGGCGCGACAGCGUGGGGAGCAAACAGG
rnacentral:rRNA from 1 species